GGCAAAACAGGCCCUACAGGGUUCUGGCAGGGUGUGUCGUGGCUGACGCAGUACCGUACCCGGAAUCCCUCCACCACUGGCGCAGCCCUUAAAGUUUAGCAUCAGAUGACCUGCUCUCUGGGCUCCUAGGGAGAGCUCAGCAGGACUUUGAGAAGCUGGGACAACUGGUGGGUGUACAGUGUGUAGAUGUGCACAGGCCUUCUAUCUGCCAACCAUGACUCUCAGCUUCAACAUUAUGCCAGUACUAACACGGGAUGAGGAGCUGAUGCUACUGGUGCUACAGAAGGUCCUCAGAAACCUCUGACCAGAGGCUUUAGGCCAGAACACUAAACUAGGAGUCUGCAUCAAAACCAUCUGAGGAGCUUUUCCAAAGUGCACGUGCCUAGGUCCUGGACAGGUUUCUUUUGAAAAAGUGCCCUGGAUUCACACUGCGCAGAUACCGCAACCAAAGCAGCUGGUCCAGGUUCAUGCCUCAAAUAGCAGAAAGAAGGAAGUUCUUAAGAGUACAGAGUUCUGUCUCCUGCCAGCUCUGGGACCCUCUGAGUGGAAACAGUGCGGACUUUGGAGCCACAAAGCCCUCCAUUUGAACUAGUUCCCCUGUUUACUAGUGUCCUGGCCUUGCACAUAUGCUUAACCUCUCUGACCCUCAGUUUCUUUAUCUGUGGAAUACAAAUGAUGAACCUGCUUGUCUGAAGAGUAAAUGAGAUACAGCAAGGCCUAACACACACCCUCAACAAAUGGUAGUUCCUGACUCCUAAUCUGGAAAGGAUAAGCCUUCUGCUUGCAAAACU